GACGAACGCUGGCGGCGUGCCUAAUACAUGCAAGUCGAGCGAAGUUUUUCUGGUGCUUGCCCUAGAAAAACUUAGCGGCGAACGGGUGAGUAACACGUAAAGAACCUGCCUCAUAGACUGGGACAACUAUUGGAAACGAUAGCUAAUACCGGAUAACAGUAUUUCUCGCAUGGGAGAUAUUUAAAAGUUGGUUAUGCUAACACUAUGAGAUGGCUUUGCGGUGCAUUAGCUAGUUGGUGGGGUAAAGGCCCACCAAGGCGAGGAUGCAUAGCCGACCUGAGAGGGUGAUCGGCCACACUGGGACUGAGACACGGCCCAGACUCCUACGGGAGGCAGCAGUAGGGAAUCUUCCGCAAUGGGCGAAAGCCUGACGGAGCAACGCCGCGUGAGUGAAGAAGGAUUUCGGUUCGUAAAGCUCUGUUGUUAGGGAAGAAUGGAUAUGUUGUAACUAUACAUGUAAGAGACGGUACCUAACCAGAAAGCCACGGCUAACUACGUG
rnacentral:rRNA from 1 species